CGAGUUAUUGGGAAGCGAAAGUUGUGAAAGUGAUAGUAACCCUUGCUAAGGCAAAGGUAGCCAAGUUUAUUAGCUAAUAGCAGCCCCACGCUUAUGUUAGCAAUUCAAAGAUGCGUGUUGAUCUCUUCAAAUGAGUACCACAGGUGUUUAGUAGAGGACAUUUAAAUUGAAGAGGACAACAAGCUUAUUAACUCCUAUGCUGCACUCUCACUAAAAAAAAGCAAGAAAAAAUGCACAAACACUGAAAAAUUCACUGCUGGCAGCCUCUUCUUCCACCAGCAUUUUCUCAUUGUUAAAUUCACUGAGCCCAAAGAAGCUAGACCUGGCAUGAACUAGAGCCCUCUUCUGAUCAUAAUGAUUGACUACUGUUGUUAAAGUUGCUGGAAAAUUUGACAGGUCUAGAAUCAUUCUCCAAAGAGCAAGCAUUGCAAGAAAGGAGAGACUCAUUAACAACUUUCCUUUGCAAGCAUUUGUUAGUAAAUUGCUUCAUGCUACCAGAUUCAACUUUGAAGCUUGCUGAGAAGCAAAAAUUAGAACUGGAACUACCAUCAAAAUAACACUCUCCCUCUCUGAAGAUAACAAAAGUGGAACAGAAUGCAAAGACUGAUCCUACAUCUUGUCAACCCCAUGCAAAUACUAGAGCUAUCUGGAACUGGUGGCUGUGUAGGACUGUGUAGAUCCAGCAAAGAAUAAUGUCAAAGAAUGUCAAGGAGAGAAAGUGGCUGGAGUCAAGAAAGAGGAGAACAACAUGGGAACAAAAAGCAUGUUCAAUAAAACAUUCUCUGAAGUUAGAAAGUCCCUCAUUGGAAGCAACUCAUUGGAUGUAUCUAUUAUCAAAGGAAAUCCACAAUCUAUUCCACAAGAACAUAACAGCUGAAGAAGGUCUAUUGGUGCCAAGAAAGAAGAACUGUUUUCAGAAAAAAGAGAUGGUAGAUCUCCAGAUUUUAGGAGAUUGAUAUUUAUUUUCACCUCACUAUCUUUGCUUGUUAUCCCUGGGACACUACAGGAGGGAGAGCUAGACCAAAAAAUCCAGAAUUACCAGUCUUAUCAUUUUAACAUCAUGUUUUUACAGGAAAUGGAUGAAAAAAUAACUAAUACUCAAUAGAUAUGCAGUUUCACUAAAUGUAAUAGGGUCUUUGGGUUGGGAGGACAGCCAAGUAGUUACCUUUUUUGCCACUUUCAGCAACAACCGAUUUAAAUACAACUGUAUUUAAAAGAAGGACGUAAGUGCAGGUUUUGCAGGAGAUGGGUUCAUGCUCAUUCAUUUGAUGAAUAAAAUGUAAGUCAUUAAAUAAUUCAUUUAUUUAUUUGAAAGGAAAAAAUCUUUAUCUUUGAGGAAAGAAGUGAACUAUAAUGAAAACUGAUAUAUUCUGUAAAAUAUUUUUUUAAAAGUGUUAAGCAUAUAUUUUAAAAAGUUUGAGUUCCUUUCUUGCUUUGUCAGUUUUAAAAUCUAUUUACUAUUGAUAUUUCUAUGCCACUAUACUCCAGACAGCUGUGAGUGACAUAUGACAAGUAAAUAUGAGAAAAACAGUAAAAAAAAUGUACAUUAACAUAGCACUAAAUAGCAGGAGUGAUUUUUUUUAAAAAUCUAACAUUUCCACAAAUAUGCUCUCUUAGAGCCAAGUUUUUAUUUCUUUGCAAAAUUCAUUAGGGAGGAAAUAGUUAUUAUAUGUGAGGAGAAAUUGUACCAUAGGAGAAGCGUAUAACUGAGAAGACUUUUAUGACACUCCUUCAUUGAUCUUUAAUGGGACUUCUUAUCCAACAGAGCCUCUUAUUGGACAAGCAGACAGCCAUUCCCUGAGUAAUGUGGAUUUUAAAAGUGAUAAGCAACAUCUUGAAUUGCACCCAGAAUUUGACUGGAAGCCAGUGGAAUUCUCAAAAUAGAGAUGUUACGCAAUUAAAUCACCACCCUACCUGAAUCACUGCAAACUGAACCAGUUUAAGCUACAUGGUCUUCAGGAACAGCUCUGUGUAAACAAAUUGCAAUAGUCUGAUGGGGGGGGAGGAGGUGAUGGGGGCAUGCAUGACUAUGCCCAAUGCCUCUGAUUCAGGAAGAGUUGCAAUUGGCACCUGAGAUGUAAUUGUGCAAAGGCUCUCCUGCCUAUAAUCUUAAUUCUGCUGCUCAAGUAGAAGCACCAAGUCCAGCAGAACCACAAAAUUGGAAUCCAGUUCUAUCAUUUCUGAAAGGAUGAUUCAAAGGGUCACGGGUUGUCUAGAGAUGACAGUAAAAACAGAUUAAAAUUAACAAAUAUCCUUAUUCUCAUAAAAUAAUUAACCUAUGAUAGGUUUUGCCAUCUAAUAGACCUCACAUAAUAAAGUAGGACUUCCAAAUACAUGUAAUCAUAGUAGAUCCAUAGAAAAUCAUAGAAUUUACUCAGUUCAUGAAUGAGUCUGUGGGCAUCUUGUCCCAACAGAUUUUAGUUAGCUUAUUACAAUAUUUGUCACUAACCCUAUUCAUACAACUCUGGCUAUUGUAUGUAGACAUAGAAAAGGGGGUUGUUCAAAAGUGGGGAUACAUUCAGGAAAAAAAACCUUUUCUUUUGAAUAAAUUUAUAUAUUUUAUCAGUUGGUGUUACAAAAUGAAUUCAGCUAAAGAUCUUAUUUGUGUGUUAUUGGGGGAUAAUGUUUCUUUAGUAUUUGGAUCCCAAUAUAUUCAGAACUGUAGAGGUAAAUUCAGAAUUAUUCAGAGUAAGAGUAAGAACUAUUCAUUCAUUCAUUCAGUUUACACCUUUCCUUCCUACUUUUGCAAAUAUUCAAGAUGGAGUAGUAUUAAUCUUGAAGAAUUGGAGUGUUUCACAUAUUUACUGUCAAAAUUACAAUAGUGUAGCAAAAUUCUGAACCAACUGAAGCUUUGAUAUUCUCAAGGGAAACCCAACAUACAAACACUUUGCAGAGCAAAGAUAGUUUACAACAGCAUGAAUAUCAAAUUGUAGGACUCCAUCAGCACAAUGCUCCCAUUUUAAGUUUGUUUAUUCUUACUAUGAUUGUACCCAGAAUGAAAUUCAUCAUGAAAGUGAUCAAUUGUGAGGACAGUUAACUCCAGCCCUUCAGAUGACCCCACCCAACAAGUAUACUUUUUUUAACAUUGCAAAAACCUGAUAGGCUGAAUACCUUAAAUUCAAAGUAAAAUCCAAUAUUAAUACGUUUUUCUGAUUUUGCACAACUCACAAAGCUAAUUAUUUGGUUGGAAUCAGCUUCAUGACAUAGUUCACAUAGCACGUUACACUAUGGUUUAUUGAUUUUAACCAAACUGGCUUCACACAAUAUGCUAAACCAUAGACCAUUGUAGGCUGGACUCACACAAGACAGCAAGCCAAAAUCAAACAAGUUAGUAUCUUCAACAUUAUGUAUACCCAACCUAUCCCUAAAUGAAAUGUGCAGAAAGAAGCUACAUUAAUAUGAAUCUUAAGCACAAUUACAAAACACAAAUUUUGUCUUUUAGCAAUAGGCCUUAAUGUACAAAAAAUACAACAGCAAUCGUUGAACAAUGUAAAGAAGAAUGAAAGAUGGCAUCCACUAAUACAGACUCAAUACUGCUUGCCUACCCAGUUAACUGUUCUAGUGAGAGACCUCUGUGUGAAUUGCUAAUCUCUAGAAAAAAUGGUUUUGAAUGAAGCUGACACAAUGAAACGAUUCUGUUCCCAGUCACCAUUGUCCUAUUAGAACAAUAAGAGUUCUGGAAGUGCUAUUGCAUUCGUAAUAUUCCAGAGUAGAACCACUGCAUUCUCAUUUUUUCUUUAUGUGCUCACUCAAGCCUAGCUGUUCAUUUGUGUUGCAAAUGCUGGCUUUUGUGUGCUCACAACACCAUCUUGCAUAAAACCCUGCAAUUUUUCUUGCUAUUUUGGUUACACAAACAUACCAUAAAAUAACUGUUACAUGUAGACAAGAGGAGCACUUGCAUGGAUGCAGAAGAAAACCCCACCACCAAUUAGUCAAAAGUAACUAAAGACGGAUUACUAACUAUGAAAAAAAUUAAACUAAUGCUGAGAAUGGCCAGUGUUAAGUUCAACAGGAAGGCAGCUACAGCAACUGUGGAACACUAAGC